UACAGAGGUCUCGAGCGUUGUUCGGAUUCAUUGGGCGUAAAGGGUGCGUAGGUGGCGUGGUAAGUCUGGUGUGAAAUCCCGGGGCUCAACCCCGGAACUGCACUGGAUACUGCCAUGCUUGAGUACUGGAGAGGAGAUUGGAAUUUACGGUGUAGCAGUGAAAUGCGUAGAUAUCGUAAGGAAGACCAGUGGCGAAGGCGAAUCUCUGGACAGUUACUGACACUGAGGCAGCGAAGGCCAGGGGAGCAAACGGG
rnacentral:rRNA from 1 species